rnacentral:misc_RNA from 1 species
GUUGCAUACUACAAUAGAUUGAUCAACUACAUGCUCAAAAGAGGGAUUACUCCUUAUGCAAAUCUUUAUCACUAUGAUCUUCCUCUGGCACUUGAGAAUAAGUAUAAAGGACUAUUGAGUCGCCAAGUAGUGAAAGACUUUGCUGAUUAUGCAGAUUUUUGUUUCAAGACCUUUGGGGAUCGAGUAAAGAACUGGAUGACAUUCAAUGAACCUAGAGUUGUGGCUGCACUUGGAUAUGAUAAUGGGUUUUUUGCUCCUGGAAGAUGCUCCAAAGCAUUUGGAAAUUGUACAGCUGGCAAUUCAGCAACUGAGCCUUAUAUUGUUGCUCAUAAUCUCAUUUUAUCUCAUGCAGCUGCAGUUCAAAGAUAUCGUGAAAAGUAUCAAGAAAAGCAGAAGGGGAGGAUAGGAAUUCUCUUAGAUUUUGUUUGGUAUGAACCUCUUACCAGAUCAAAAGCUGACAACUAUGCAGCUCAAAGAGCAAGAGACUUUCAUGUUGGAUGGUUUAUUCAUCCCAUUGUUUAUGGUGAGUAUCCAAGAACGAUGCAAGAUAUUGUGGGUAACAGGCUACCAAAGUUCACUAAAGAAGAGGUUAAAAUAGUGAAGGGCUCAAUUGAUUUUGUGGGUAUCAACCAGUAUACCACUUACUACAUGUAUGAUCCGCAUCAGCCAAAACCAAAGUACUUGGGCUAUCAGCAAGACUGGAAUAGUGGAUUUGCUUAUCAAAAGAAUGGAGUGCCAAUUGGUCCAAGGGCAAAUUCUUAUUGGCUCUACAAUGUACCAUGGGGCAUGUACAAGGCUUUGAUUUACAUAAAAGAGCGCUAUGGAAACCCUACAGUGAUAUUAUCUGAAAAUGGCAUGGAUGAUCCGGGUAACGUCAC